AGAUUUUACAUGAGAUUGUGCCAUCCCAUUCACUAAUGUUAGAAUUCCAUACGCUGCUUAGAAAGUCAGAGACAGAAGAACACCGGAAACUGGGCUUGGCCGUGUUAUUUGAAGUCCUAGACUUCUCUGGAUGCACUAAGAACAUAACGGCUUGGAAAUACUUGGCAAAGUAUCUGAAGCAGACGUUAAUGGAAAGCCAUCGUGAGUGGGUUGAAGAAGAGUGGAAGUCCAGGAGAAACUGGUGGCCAGCCUUUCACUUCAGCUUCUUUUGGGCAAAGAGUGACUGGAAGGCAGACGCUGAGCUGGCUUGUGAAAAGGCUUUUGUAGCUGGAAUCCUUUUAGGGAAAGGUUGUAGAUACUUUCGGUAUAUUUUAAAACAAGAUCAUGAAACCUUGAAAAAGAAAAUCAAGCGGAUGAAGAAGUCUGUGAAAAAAUAUACUAUUGUAAAUCCA
rnacentral:lncRNA from 1 species